rnacentral:rRNA from 1 species
UACGUAGGGUGCGAGCGUUAAUCGGAAUACUGGGCGUAAAGCGUGCGCAGGCGGUGAUGUAAGACAGGUGUGAAAUCCCCGGGCUUAACCUGGGAACUGCAUUUGUGACUGCAUCGCUGGAGUGCGGCAGAGGGGGAUGGAAUUCCGCGUGUAGCAGUGAAAUGCGUAGAUAUGCGGAGGAACACCGAUGGCGAAGGCAAUCCCUGGGCCUGCACUGACGCUCAUGCACGAAAGCGUGGGGAGCAAACAGG